rnacentral:rRNA from 1 species
UACGGAGGGUGCGAGCGUUGUCCGGAAUCACUGGGCGUAAAGGGCGCGUAGGUGGCCUGUGGAAGUCUGCGGUGAAAGCCCGGCGCUCAACGCCGGGUCGGCCGUGGAUACUCUCGGGCUCGAGCUUACUAGAGGCAGAUGGAAUUCCGGGUGUAGCGGUGGAAUGCGUAGAGAUCGGGAGGAACACCAGUGGCGAAGGCGGCUCACUGGCUCGGUACUGACGCUGAGGUGCGAAAGCGUGGGGAGCAAACAGG